CAUCUAGAUGAUGGACUUAGAUG
rnacentral:siRNA from 1 species